ensembl:snoRNA
CUCCAGUGAUGAUCUCUUGUUAGUGCCAUAGUGUCUGGGCCACUGACUUCUACUGAUGGAGAUGAGGUACUGAGGAG